GAAUCUUGGACAAUGGGGGCAACCCUGAUCCAGCCAUGCCGCGUGAGCGAUGAAGGCCUUAGGGUUGUAAAGCUCUUUCAGCGGGGAAGAUAAUGACGGUACCCGCCGAAGAAGCCCCGGCUAACUCCGUGCCAGCAGCCGCGGUAAUACGGAGGGGGCUAGCGUUGUUCGGAAUUACUGGGCGUAAAGCGCACGUAGGCGGAUAGUUAAGUCGGGGGUGAAAUCCCGGGGCUCAACCCCGGAACUGCCUUCGAUACUGGCCGUCUGGAGGUCGAGAGAGGUGAGUGGAAUUCCGAGUGUAGAGGUGAAAUUCGUAGAUAUUCGGAGGAACACCAGUGGCGAAGGCGGCUCACUGGCUCGAUUCUGACGCUGAGGUGCGAAAGCGUGGGGAGCAAACAGG
rnacentral:rRNA from 1 species